rnacentral:rRNA from 1 species
GCGUGGGGGAUGAAGGUCUUCGGAUUGUAAACCCCUGUUGGGAGGGACGAAGGUUCGAGGGUGAAUAGCCCUCGCGCUUGACGGUACCUCAAGAGGAAGCCCCGGCUAACUCUGUGCCAGCAGCCGCGGUAAUACAGAGGGGGCGAGCGUUAUUCGGAAUUAUUGGGCGUAAAGGGCGCGUAGGCGGCUAGGCAAGUCCUGGGUGAAAUCCCUCGGCUCAACCGAGGAACUGCCCCGGAAACUGCCUGGCUUGAGGCCGGGAGAGGAUGGUGGAAUUCCCAGUGUAGCGGUGAAAUGCGU